GAUGAACGCUAGCUACAGGCUUAACACAUGCAAGUCGAGGGGUAACGAGAGGAAAGCUUGCUUUCCUUGUCGACGACCGGCGCACGGGUGAGUAACGCGUAUCCAACCUGCCCCCAACUAGGGAAUAACCUUGCGAAAGUAAGACUAAUACCCUAUAAUUUCCUCAGAUGUCAUCUGACGAGGAAUAAAGAUUUAUCGGUUGGGGAUGGGGAUGCGUCUGAUUAGCUUGUUGGCGGGGUAACGGCCCACCAAGGCAACGAUCAGUAGGGGUUCUGAGAGGAAGGUCCCCCACAUUGGAACUGAGACACGGUCCAAACUCCUACGGGAGGCAGCAGUGAGGAAUAUUGGUCAAUGGGCGGAAGCCUGAACCAGCGAAGUAGCGUGCAGGAUGACGGCCCUAUGGGUUGUAAACUGCUUUUAUACAGGAAUAAAGUUAGCCACGUGUGGUUAUUUGUAGGUACUGUAUGAAUAAGCACCGGCUAACUCCGUGCCAGCAGCCGCCGUAA
rnacentral:rRNA from 1 species